GUAGAUUUGUUUGAGUGUGUUGUACCCCAGAUAGGAAUCCCAUGGAGCCCAUUCGCAUGAAACUGACUGUGUAAAGACUUUGGCUUCAUGGCGUUUAAACUGUAUUCAUGUGGUCUGAGCGCCAUUCGCUUAAUAAUGUGCGCUCAGACCUGAGCUAUCUGGGGAUAUGUAGAACGUAUAUGUUUUAUGUACUGAAUGUAACUGUAGGUAAUUUUAUGUCUUUUACUGUUUGUUUUCUGCCAUGUGGUUAAUGG